GGGGACGUAGCUCAGCUGGGAGAGCGCCGCGUUCGCAAUGCGGAGGUCGAGGGUUCGAACCCCUUCGUCUCCACCA
rnacentral:tRNA from 2 species